rnacentral:rRNA from 1 species
GCUAAUACCGUAUAACAAUCGAAACCGCAUGGUUUUGAUUUGAAAGGCGCUUUCGGGUGUCGCUGAUGGAUGGACCCGCGGUGCAUUAGCUAGUUGGUGAGGUAACGGCUCACCAAGGCCACGAUGCAUAGCCGACCUGAGAGGGUGAUCGGCCACAUUGGGACUGAGACACGGCCCAAACUCCUACGGGAGGCAGCAGUAGGGAAUCUUCGGCAAUGGACGAAAGUCUGACCGAGCAACGCCGCGUGAGUGAAGAAGGUUUUCGGAUCGUAAAACUCUGUUGUUAGAGAAGAACAAGGAUGAGAGUAACUGUUCAUCCCUUGACGGUAUCUAACCAGAAAGCCACGGCUAACUACGUGCCAGCAGCCGCGGUAAUACGUAGGUGGCAAGCGUUGUCCGGAUUUAUUGGGCGUAAAGCGAGCGCAGGCGGUUUCUUAAGUCUGAUGUGAAAGCCCCCGGCUCAACCGGGGAGGGUCAUUGGAAACUGGGAGACUUGAGUGCAGAAGAGGAGAGUGGAAUUCCAUGUGUAGCGGUGAAAUGCGUAGAUAUAUGGAGGAACACCAGUGGCGAAGGCGGCUCUCUGGUCUGUAACUGACGCUGAGGCUCGAAAGCGUGGGGAGCAAACAGGAUUAGAUACCCUGGUAGUCCACGCCGUAAACGAUGAGUGCUAAGUGUUGGAGGGUUUCCGCCCUUCAGUGCUGCAGCUAACGCAUUAAGCACUCCGCCUGGGGAGUACGACCGCAAGGUUGAAACUCAAAGGAAUUGACGGGGGCCCGCACAAGCGGUGGAGCAUGUGGUUUAAUUCGAAGCAACGCGAAGAACCUUACCAGGUCUUGACAUCCUUUGACCACUCUAGAGAUAGAGCUUCCCCUUCGGGGGCAAAGUGACAGGUGGUGCAUGGUUGUCGUCAGCUCGUGUCGUGAGAUGUUGGGUUAAGUCCCGCAACGAGCGCAACCCUUAUUGUUAGUUGCCAUCAUUCAGUUGGGCACUCUAGCAAGACUGCCGGUGACAAACCGGAGGAAGGUGGGGAUGACGUCAAAUCAUCAUGCCCCUUAUGACCUGGGCUACACACGUGCUACAAUGGGAAGUACAACGAGUCGCGAAGUCGCGAGGCUAAGCUAAUCUCUUAAAGCUUCUCUCAGUUCGGAU